AAUAGCAUAAUUAUUCUUUUAGGAAACAUUGAAAACGGGUCCCACAGACCUGAACACCAUACAAGGGUUAGUCAUGGAAAAAAAGGUUGUUGACGAACAUAUUUAAUCUCGUCUGAUGAAAAUAACACUUAUUUUCUGAGCGAUUUUAACUUCUCUCGUUGCAGCCCCUUUCUGUCAGCCGCAGAGCAGUUUCCAUACCAGGCAGUGAUGGAGGGUGUCAGUUUGCUCUCUACCACCCACCGGUAAAAGGAAGUCAGGAGGACAGCAGGGCUGAGGCCAUGUUGUAAAUUGUCAUCGGCCUGUCUCUACUCCUUGCUAUCAUCGUCGUGGCAGCGUUAAUGUCAUCAGAUGGAUUGAAGAAAUACUGUGUGGAUUCAGGUUCCAACACAAACAAUCUGUAUCAGAAAGUGAGGUUGGACGAGGAGGAAAACAUGCUGAAACAGAUAGCAAAAGAAAAGUUGAAGGCAGAACUGGAACAACGGUGGGAAGAGGAGGCAGCAGCCGGAGAACAGAUCGCUCUGCGUCCAACAGGAAACCAGAUGGUUGACUCUUUCCCGUGAAUCCAGAUUCAUCAGACGAGCUGUAGAGAUGGGUCUACGUCGGUCACCAUGGUGAUGAUGAUGAUGGUCACAUGUUUCAUGCAACUCAACAAAGUGUUGUAUUGAGCUUUAAUCUGAUUAAUUGUAAUGCUUAUCUUUUUUGUUGUUGCUUUUAUUUGUAACUACUGCUCACUGUUGAAA